rnacentral:rRNA from 1 species
AUGCAAGUCGAGCGAGACCUUCGGGUCUAGCGGCGGACGGGUUAGUAACGCGUGGGAACGUGCCCUUCUCUGCGGAAUAGCCACUGGAAACGGUGAGUAAUACCGCAUACGCCCUUCGGGGGAAAGAUUUAUCGGAGAAGGAUCGGCCCGCGUUAGAUUAGAUAGUUGGUGGGGUAAUGGCCUACCAAGUCUACGAUCUAUAGCUGGUUUUAGAGGAUGAUCAGCAACACUGGGACUGAGACACGGCCCAGACUCCUACGGGAGGCAGCAGUGGGGAAUCUUAGACAAUGGGCGCAAGCCUGAUCUAGCCAUGCCGCGUGUGUGAUGAAGGUCUUAGGAUCGUAAAGCACUUUCGCCAGGGAUGAUAAUGACAGUACCUGGUAAAGAAACCCCGGCUAACUCCGUGCCAGCAGCCGCGGUAAUACGGAGGGGGUUAGCGUUGUUCGGAAUUACUGGGCGUAAAGCGUACGUAGGCGGAUCAGAAAGUUGGGGGUGAAAUCCCGGGGCUCAACCCCGGAACUGCCUCCAAAACUCCUGGUCUUGAGUUCGAGAGAGGUGAGUGGAAUUCCAAGUGUAGAGGUGAAAUUCGUAGAUAUUUGGAGGAACACCAGUGGCGAAGGCGGCUCACUGGCUCGAUACUGACGCUGAGGUACGAAAGUGUGGGGAGCAAACAGGAUUAGAUACCCUGGUAGUCCACACCGUAAACGAUGAAUGCCAGUCGUCGGGCAGUAUACUGUUCGGUGACACACCUAACGGAUUAAGCAUUCCGCCUGGGAGUACGGUCGCAAGAUUAAAACUCAAAGGAAUUGACGGGGCCCG